rnacentral:rRNA from 1 species
GAUGAACGCUGGCGGCGUGCCUAAUACAUGCAAGUCGAGCGAACGGACGAGAAGCUUGCUUCUCUGAUGUUAGCGGCGGACGGGUGAGUAACACGUGGAUAACCUACCUAUAAGACUGGGAUAACUUCGGGAAACCGGAGCUAAUACCGGAUAAUAUUUUGAACCGCAUGGUUCAAAAGUGAAAGACGGUCUUGCUGUCACUUAUAGAUGGAUCCGCGCUGCAUUAGCUAGUUGGUAAGGUAACGGCUUACCAAGGCAACGAUGCAUAGCCGACCUGAGAGGGUGAUCGCCAACACUGGAACUGAGACACGGCCAAGACCCCUACGGGAGGCAGCAGUAGGGAAUCUUCCGAAAGGGGCGAAAGCCUGACGGAGCAACGCCGCGGGAGUGAGGAAGUUUUUCGGAUCGUAAAACUCUGUUAUUAGGGAAGAACAUAUGUGUAAGUAACUGUGCAUAUCUGGACGGUACCUAAUAAGAAAGCCACGGCUAACUACGUG